ACGAAAUUCCCAGAUCUGAUACCAAAAGGGAUCAUCACAUUACACGGUGAGAUGGAGAAAGAGAGAUGGAGAGAGAGAUAGGGGGUUACCUGAGAUGGAGGAGUGGCGAUGCGACGAGCACGGCGGCGGCGCGGCGGAACUCGUCGGAGAACAGGAUUGAACAAGAUUUAAAAACCCUAGGUAGUUACUAAUUUAAAUUAAGGGAAAGAAAAAAGAAAGAAAGGGGGAGGGGAGAGAGACGCCAGCCUCGCCGCGCCGGAGGCAACGACAACCGGCGACGUUCGCCGGAGAAAUUUGGGAGAAGGAAA
rnacentral:lncRNA from 1 species